rnacentral:rRNA from 1 species
UACGUAUGGUGCAAGCGUUAUCCGGAAUGACUGGGUGUAAAGGGAGCGUAGAUGGUUGUACAAGUCUGAUGUGAAAGCCCACGGCUCAACUGUGGGAGUGCAUUGGAAACUGUAGAACUAGAGUAUCGGAGAGGCAAGUGGAAUUCCUAGUGUAGCGGUGAAAUGCGUAGAUAUUAGGAGGAACACCAGUGGCGAAGGCGGCUUGCUGGACGAAAACUGACGUUGAGGCUCGAAAGCGUGGGGAGCAAACAGG